ensembl:lncRNA
AGCCUGCCUUCAUUCUAUUUAUGUCCACGUGCUGGGUCUUCACUAUGCCCAUGUCAGUGAGUGCAGUGCAAGGCUGUUGGGGUUGGAUAUCCUGAGUCACACCUGCUAUUUCAGGGUGAUCCCAGGGCAACAAAAACACCCAGCUUCUGCUUUUGUAUUUCUUGCUUGUUUUUAACUUAUCCUUACCUGGUGUUCUGCCUCAGCCUCGUUAAAAGAGAAUGAGACUCAAAUCCCUCUGGGCACCCUUCAUUCUGCCUGACCUCAUGGCACUUCUCCCACCUGGGGAGCUGCAGGUGUGGAUGGGGGCGAAUAGCAAUUAUUCCCCUCUUGCAGGUUCAAAUCCUUGGCUGCAUUUGGAAGCUACUUGAGCUGCUGCACUUAUGACAAGUGGCCAUGUGCUCUCUGCUCUUAGCAAACACUGGUUGAGCCUCAUUGCAGGGCUGUGGCUGAUCCUUGCAGGUGCAUGGCUUGCUACCAAAUUGUUUUGUGGUUGCGUUGCCACGUUGUCAUUGUUUCUGUUUGCUCACUGCCUCCCGAGGUGAGCUCCUUACCUGCUGCCUUAAGUCACAUGGUGUUUGGAUGGAGGAGCUCAUUUCUUUCCAUGGGGAAAAGAGUUUGCACAAUAAACAAAGAGCAGAGGGAAUUAUUUCAGGCUUCGUCUAUGUGAAGCAACAGAGAAACCAUAGGUUACUCUUUGACACAUUCAUUGCUUGAAAUGACAGAAGUAGAGUGUUUUCUUGUGUAAGAACCAAACCUCCGAUUCUUAGACCAUCUUUACACACUUCUUCAACUUCAGAAGUACCACAUACCAGGAAUCUCCCAAUGGGAUCAGACAGGAUGAUUCCGGGGUGAAGAAACAGACCAUAGCUGCAGAUGAGGAUCCCAACUUCAGUGUCUGUACCUACAGCCUGAAGGGAACUUCUUAUUCUGAGCUGCUCUCAGAAAAUGUGCUUGGAGUAUUUUCUGCUUCCCAUCUCAGGAGAUGCUAUUUGCAUCUUAGGCUCCUCUUU